GGUUAAGCGACUAAGCGUACACGGUGGAUGCCCUGGCAGUCAGAGGCGAUGAAGGACGUGCUAAUCUGCGAAAAGCGUCGGUAAGGUGAUAUGAACCGUUAUAGCCGGCGAUGUCCGAAUGGGGAAACCCAGUGCAAUUCGUUGCACUAUCGUUUGAUGAAUACAUAGUCAAACGAGGCGAACCGGGGGAACUGAAACAUCUAAGUACCCCGAGGAAAAGAAAUCAACCGAGAUUCCCCCAGUAGCGGCGAGCGAACGGGGAGCAGCCCGGAGUCUGAAUCAGCUUGUGUGUUAGUGGAAGCGUCUGGAAAGUCGCAGGGUACAGGGUGAUACUCCCGUACACUAAAACACACAGGUUGUGAACUCGAAGAGUAGGGCGGGACACGUGGUAUCCUGUCUGAAUAUGGGGGGACCAUCCUCCAAGGCUAAAUACUCCUGACUGACCGAUAGUGAACCAGUACCGUGAGGGAAAGGCGAAAAGAACCCCGGCGAGGGGAGUGAAAAAGAACCUGAAACCGUGUACGUACAAGCAGUAGGAGCCCACUUGUUGGGUGACUGCGUACCUUUUGUAUAAUGGGUCAGCGACUUAUAUUCUGUAGCAAGGUUAACCGUAUAGGGGAGCCGCAGGGAAACCGAGUCUUAACUGGGCGUUAAGUUGCAGGGUAUAGACCCGAAACCCGGUGAUCUAGCCAUGGGCAGGUUGAAGGUUGGGUAACACUAACUGGAGGACCGAACCGACUAAUGUUGAAAAAUUAGCGGAUGACUUGUGGCUGGGGGUGAAAGGCCAAUCAAACCGGGAGAUAGCUGGUUCUCCCCGAAAGCUAUUUAGGUAGCGCCUCGUGAACUCAUCUUCGGGGGUAGAGCACUGUUUCGGCUAGGGGGUCAUCCCGACUUACCAACCCGAUGCAAACUACGAAUACCGAAGAAUGUUAUCACGGGAGACACACGGCGGGUGCUAACGUCCGUCGUGAAGAGGGAAACAACCCAGACCGCCAGCUAAGGUCCCAAAGUCAUGGUUAAGUGGGAAACGAUGUGGGAAGGCCCAGACAGCCAGGAUGUUGGCUUAGAAGCAGCCAUCAUUUAAAGAAAGCGUAAUAGCUCACUGGUCGAGUCGGCCUGCGCGGAAGAUGUAACGGGGCUAAACCAUGCACCGAAGCUGCGGCAGCGACACUAUGUGUUGUUGGGUAGGGGAGCGUUCUGUAAGCCGUUGAAGGUGGCCUGUGAGGGUUGCUGGAGGUAUCAGAAGUGCGAAUGCUGACAUAAGUAACGAUAAUGCGGGUGAAAAACCCGCACGCCGGAAGACCAAGGGUUCCUGUCCAACGUUAAUCGGGGCAGGGUGAGUCGACCCCUAAGGCGAGGCCGAAAGGCGUAGUCGAUGGGAAACAGGUUAAUAUUCCUGUACUCGGUGUUACUGCGAAGGGGGGACGGAGAAGGCUAUGUUGGCCGGGCGACGGUUGUCCCGGUUUAAGCAUGUAGGCGGAUGUUCCAGGUAAAUCCGGAACGUUACUAACGCUGAGGUGUGAUGACGAGGCACUACGGUGCUGAAGUGACAAAUGCCCUGCUUCCAGGAAAAGCCUCUAAGCAUCAGGUAACAUCAAAUCGUACCCCAAACCGACACAGGUGGUCAGGUAGAGAAUACCAAGGCGCUUGAGAGAACUCGGGUGAAGGAACUAGGCAAAAUGGUGCCGUAACUUCGGGAGAAGGCACGCUGAUGGUAAGUGAAGCGACUUGCUCGUGGAGCUGAAAUCAGUCGAAGAUACCAGCUGGCUGCAACUGUUUAUUAAAAACACAGCACUGUGCAAACACGAAAGUGGACGUAUACGGUGUGACGCCUGCCCGGUGCCGGAAGGUUAAUUGAUGGGGUUAUCCGUAAGGAGAAGCUCUUGAUCGAAGCCCCGGUAAACGGCGGCCGUAACUAUAACGGUCCUAAGGUAGCGAAAUUCCUUGUCGGGUAAGUUCCGACCUGCACGAAUGGCGUAAUGAUGGCCAGGCUGUCUCCACCCGAGACUCAGUGAAAUUGAACUCGCUGUGAAGAUGCAGUGUACCCGCGGCAAGACGGAAAGACCCCGUGAACCUUUACUAUAGCUUGACACUGAACACUGGUCCUUGAUGUGUAGGAUAGGUGGGAGGCUUUGAAGUGUGGACGCCAGUCUGCAUGGAGCCAUCCUUGAAAUACCACCCUUUAAUGGCUGGUGUUCUAACGUGGGCCCCUGAUCGGGGUUGCGGACAGUGUCUGGUGGGUAGUUUGACUGGGGCGGUCUCCUCCUAAAGAGUAACGGAGGAGCACGAAGGUCAGCUAAUCCUGGUCGGACAUCAGGAGGUUAGUGCAAUGGCAUAAGCUGGCUUGACUGCGAGCGUGACGGCGCGAGCAGGUGCGAAAGCAGGUCAUAGUGAUCCGGUGGUUCUGAAUGGAAGGGCCAUCGCUCAACGGAUAAAAGGUACUCCGGGGAUAACAGGCUGAUACCGCCCAAGAGUUCAUAUCGACGGCGGUGUUUGGCACCUCGAUGUCGGCUCAUCACAUCCUGGGGCUGAAGUAGGUCCCAAGGGUAUGGCUGUUCGCCAUUUAAAGUGGUACGCGAGCUGGGUUUAGAACGUCGUGAGACAGUUCGGUCCCUAUCUGCCGUGGGCGCUGGAGAAUUGAGGGGGGCUGCUCCUAGUACGAGAGGACCGGAGUGGACGCAUCACUGGUGUUCGGGUUGUCAUGCCAAUGGCAUUGCCCGGUAGCUAAAUGCGGAAGAGAUAAGUGCUGAAAGCAUCUAAGCACGAAACUUGCCCCGAGAUGAGUUCUCCCUGACUCCUUGAGAGUCCUGAAGGAACGUUGAAGACGACGACGUUGAUAGGCCGGGUGUGUAAGCGCAGCGAUGCGUUGAGCUAACCGGUACUAAUGAACCGUGAGGCUUAACCUU
rnacentral:rRNA from 1 species